rnacentral:lncRNA from 1 species
GAGUCUCAGACCCAUCAGCUUCCUGAGGAGCCUCACCUCAUUAUGGAUUUCCUCUCCUUGUUUCAAAACUGCAGGAUCAAAGGAUUUCAACGAGACGUCGCCAUCGUCUGAGUCAUUGAGGACAUUCUGCAGCGCCAACUGACAGCGUUCUAAGAUAUAAUCCAAGGUGCCUGUUGAGCACUGUCAAGAGAGAAUCACAGGAGGCAGCUGUAGUUCUUCCUCAAUAAUGAAGAGUA